CAAUUAAACUACUGUUAUUUUGAUUCGACAUAUAAUCUACCACAUAACUGAGUAUAUGUCGGAUCACAUUACUCUUCAAAGAAAGACGCUGCAUCAUCGAAAUCUUGUCAUUUUGGCACUGGUUCUUGUUAGUGUAAUAACAAGUGAGCGAAUUGCAAUAAGAUGGUAUUUAGUGUAUGUAGAUACAAGUGCUGACAGUUGUGUGAAUUUAUAUCAGGGCAAGGCACUUGCAGAACUGUUAGAUGAAGAUCCUGCAUUGAUGGAGAGAAGAAUGCAAUGUGCUAAGAGGCUCGAACUAUACAAGAAAGCAAGA
rnacentral:lncRNA from 1 species